rnacentral:rRNA from 1 species
GAUGAACGCUGGCGGCGUGCUUAACACAUGCAAGUCGAACGGAAAGGCCCAAGCUUGCUUGGGUGCUCGAGUGGCGAACGGGUGAGUAACACGUGGGUGAUCUGCCCUGCACUUUGGGAUAAGCCUGGGAAACUGGGUCUAAUACCGGAUAGGACCAUCGUUUAGUGUCGGUGGUGGAAAGUUUUUCGGUGUGGGAUGAGCUCGCGGCCUAUCAGCUUGUUGGUGGGGUAAUGGCCUACCAAGGCGUCGACGGGUAGCCGGCCUGAGAGGGUGUACGGCCACAUUGGGACUGAGAUACGGCCCAGACUCCUACGGGAGGCAGCAGUGGGGAAUAUUGCACAAGGGGCGCAAGCCUGAUGCAGCGACGCCGCGGGGGGGAUGACGGCCUUCGGGUUGUAAACUCCUUUCGCCAAGGACGAAGCGUUUUGUGACGGUACUUGGAGAAGAAGCACCGGCUAACUACGUG